rnacentral:sRNA from 12 species
UAAUUCUUUGAAAAAUAUAGAUACCCUAGUGCAGAGAGUUGUCAGCUUGCUAGGAUGCCUUUAAGUAAGUCUAUUAUAAUAAGGAUGCUUAAUAUGGUAGGACUUUUUAUUAGUAGUAAUAUUAAUAAAGAAGAUACAAGAGUAUCAACAAAGAGAGGUAGUGUAUCUUAGUAAUCAACAGUAAAGUCAUAACAGAGUGGGGAGAAUAAUAGACGGUGUGAGAAGCACAAGAACCCUAAAGCCUAAUAUUGUGGUGAUAUUGGAAACUUGGGGAAUACCAAACAAUCUCCUAUGCCUUGAUGUAUUAGAAAUAGUACUAUAACACUCAAAAAUGGAUAAGUAGCUCAAUGGCAGUUUCUUAAUAAAAUAAAGCUCAAAAAUUAUUCAUUAAGAAUAAAAAGAUAAUUCUAAUUUAAUUUUUGAUUUAAAACAUAUUUUUUUCUGAAUGAUGAGUGAACAUUACAGGUAGUAAAUCCUGUCAUAGGUUUGGUUUUUGCAAAUACAAAAACUAUGGUAAGAAGCUUAAGAGUCGCUAUCUUAAGUUCAGACUUAUCAUCUAUGUAACUUAAUAACUACAGAUUACUAAGAAUAAGGCGAAGGUCUAUCUGAUAUUUUUCAAAGAU